rnacentral:lncRNA from 1 species
GGGACGGAGUCCGGGAAGCGGAGAAGGAGGACGCCGAGGCAAGGAGGAGGCGCGCCGCGCCCGGCGCCCGGCUCCACGCGGCGGGCUGCCUCUGCUCCCCGCACGGCGGCCCCAGCUCAACUCAGGAAGCCUUUCCAAUACUCUGGGUCUGGAUCAGAUGCUUUCUAAGUGUGCAGCAGUGCCCUCCUCUGCAGCCUGGCUUCCUGUGCUGACCUUCCCCUAUUAGAGGUCCUUUGCAGCCAGCAUGAUAACGUAUUUAUAACACGUGGAGGAGAGAGAGCUCACCAUGCUCAGGUUGUAGUUGCCUUGAGGUCAUCCUCCACAUUGCCUUAAAGAAGUGCUCAUCUCCUGCCAAACUCCUCCCCAGGCUCAUGGCUUCUAAAGGGAAGUCAGGCCUUCCCAGCCGGGUGCUUGAAAGUCUCAGCCUUUUCUCUCUUCUGUUUACUCUGUAAAUCAUUUAUUCAAGCUAGCUUUGUCUGCUUGGCUUCUCACGCAGUUUGUUCCUUUCCCCUCCUCGCGUCCCUUUCCAAAAUCCUCCCAUCCUUCAAGAUCUCACUCAUAUUCCUGUCCUUUGUGAAACUUUGCUCAUGCAUAAUUGCACCCCUUCUGAACUCCAGGAGAACUUUCAAUGGACUCUUCCUAUCA